GACGAACGCUGGCGGCGUGCUUAACACAUGCAAGUCGAACGGAAAGGCCCUGCUCUUGUGGGGUGCUCGAGUGGCGAACGGGUGAGUAACACGUGAGUAACCUGCCCUUGACUUUGGGAUAACUUCAGGAAACUGGGGCUAAUACCGGAUAGGAGCUCCUGCUGCAUGGUGGGGGUUGGAAAGUUUCGGCGGUUGGGGAUGGACGCGCGGGUUAUCAGCUUGUUGGUGGGGUAGUGGCUUACCAAGGCGUUGAAGGGUAGCCGGCCUGAGAGGGUGACCGGCGACCAUGGUACUGCGGUACGGCCCAGACGGCAACGGGGGGCAGCGGUGGGAAAUAUUGCACAAUGGGCGGGAGCCUGAUACAGCGGCGCCGGGGUCGGGAUGACGGCCUUCGGGUUGUAAACCGCUUUCGCCUGGGACGAAGGGUGGGUGACGGUAACGGGUAAAUAAGCACCGGCUAACUACGUG
rnacentral:rRNA from 1 species